rnacentral:rRNA from 1 species
UACAGAGGUCUCAAGCGUUGUUCGGAUUCAUUGGGCGUAAAGGGUGUGUAGGUGGCGCGCUAAGUCGGGUGUGAAAUUUCGGAGCUUAACUCCGAAACUGCAUUCGAUACUGGCGUGCUUGAGGACUGGAGAGGAGACUGGAAUUUACGGUGUAGCAGUGAAAUGCGUAGAUAUCGGAAGGAACACCUGUGGCGAAAGCGGCUCACUGGACCAUAACUGACGCUGAGGCGCGAAAGCUAGGGGAGCAAACAGG